rnacentral:rRNA from 1 species
GACGAACGCUGGCGGCGUGCCUAAUACAUGCAAGUAGAACGCUGAAGGAGGAGCUUGCUUCUCUGGAUGAGUUGCGAACGGGUGAGUAACGCGUAGGUAACCCGCCUGGUAGCGGGGGAUAACUAUUGGAAACGAUAGCUAAUACCGCAUAACAGUAGAUGUUGCAUGACAUUUGCUUGAAAGGUGCAAUUGCAUCACUACCAGAUGGACCUGCGUUGUAUUAGCUAGUUGGUGAGGUAACGGCUCACCAAGGCCGUGAUGCAUAGCCGACCUGAGAGGGUGAUCGGCCACAUUGGGACUGAGACACGGCCCAAACUCCUACGGGAGGCAGCAGUAGGGAAUCUUCCGCAAUGGACGCAAGUCUGACGGAGCAACGCCGCGUGAGUGAAGAAGGUUUUCGGAUCGUAAAACUCUGUUGUUAGAGAAGAACAAGUGCUAGAGUAACUGUUAGCGCCUUGACGGUAUCUAACCAGAAAGCCACGGCUAACUACGUGCCAGCAGCCGCGGUAAUACGUAGGUGGCAAGCGUUGUCCGGAUUUAUUGGGCGUAAAGCGAGCGCAGGCGGUUCCUUAAGUCUGAUGUGAAAGCCCCCGGCUCAACCGGGGAGGGUCAUUGGAAACUGGGGAACUUGAGUGCAGAAGAGGAGAGUGGAAUUCCAUGUGUAGCGGUGAAAUGCGUAGAUAUAUGGAGGAACACCAGUGGCGAAGGCGACUCUCUGGUCUGUAACUGACGCUGAGGCUCGAAAGCGUGGGUAGCAAACAGGAUUAGAUACCCUGGUAGUCCACGCCGUAAACGAUGAGUGCUAAGUGUUGGAGGGUUUCCGCCCUUCAGUGCUGCAGUUAACGCAUUAAGCACUCCGCCUGGGGAGUACGACCGCAAGGUUGAAACUCAAAGGAAUUGACGGGGACCCGCACAAGCGGUGGAGCAUGUGGUUUAAUUCGAAGCAACGCGAAGAACCUUACCAAGUCUUGACAUCCUUUGACCACUCUAGAGAUAGAGCUUUCCCUUCGGGGACAAAGUGACAGGUGGUGCAUGGUUGUCGUCAGCUCGUGUCGUGAGAUGUUGGGUUAAGUCCCGCAACGAGCGCAACCCUUAUUACUAGUUGCCAGCAUUGAGUUGGGCACUCUAGUGAGACUGCCGGUGACAAACCGGAGGAAGGUGGGGAUGACGUCAAAUCAUCAUGCCCCUUAUGACUUGGGCUACACACGUGCUACAAUGGAUGGUACAACGAGCAGCGAACUCGCGAGGGUAAGCGAAUCUCUUAAAGCCAUUCUCAGUUCGGAUUGUAGGCUGCAACUCGCCUACAUGAAGCCGGAAUCGCUAGUAAUCGCGGAUCAGCACGCCGCGGUGAAUACGUUCCCGGGUCU